UGUUGGUUCUCCCGCAACGCUAACUUGUCAACUUGGUCAGGUCCGGAAGGAAGCAGCCAUGGCAGGUGUCGUGUGUGCCGGGAUGUAGCUGGCAGGG
rnacentral:SRP_RNA from 7 species